CGCUCAGGACGAACGCUGGCGGCGUGCCUAAUACAUGCAAGUCGUACGCUUCUUUUUCCACCGGAGCUUGCUCCACCGGAAAAAGAGGAGUGGCGAACGGGUGAGUAACACGUGGGUAACCUGCCCAUCAGAAGGGGAUAACACUUGGAAACAGGUGCUAAUACCGUAUAACAAUCGAAACCGCAUGGUUUUGAUUUGAAAGGCGCUUUCGGGUGUCGCUGAUGGAUGGACCCGCGGUGCAUUAGCUAGUUGGUGAGGUAACGGCUCACCAAGGCCACGAUGCAUAGCCGACCUGAGAGGGUGAUCGGCCACAUUGGGACUGAGACACGGCCCAAACUCCUACGGGAGGCAGCAGUAGGGAAUCUUCGGCAAUGGACGAAAGUCUGACCGAGCAACGCCGCGUGAGUGAAGAAGGUUUUCGGAUCGUAAAACUCUGUUGUUAGAGAAGAAUAAGGAUGAGAGUAACUGUUCAUCCCUUGACGGUAUCUAACCAGAAAGCCACGGCUAAC
rnacentral:rRNA from 1 species